AGUCCUGUAGCUCAGUAGUUUUGAGCACUCGCUUUGUAAGCGAGAGACCUGGGUUCGAUUCCCGGCAGGGUGA